GCCGGGCAUGGUGAUGCGUGCCUGUAGUCCCAGCUACUUGGGAGGCUGAGGCAGGAGAAUCGCUUGACACUGGGAGGCAGAGGUUGUAGUGAGCCGAUUGCGCCACUGCACUCUAGCCUGGUGACAGAGCGAGACUCUGUCUCAAAAAAAAAAAAAAAACUAUAUCUCAGUUUUUUGUUUCGUUCUGUUUUGUUUUUUGAGAUGGAGUCUCACUCUGUCACCCAGGCUGGAGUGCAGUGGUGCAAACUCGGCUCACUGCAACUUCUGCCUCCCGGGGUCAAGCAAUUCUCCUGCCUCAG
rnacentral:SRP_RNA from 1 species